rnacentral:snoRNA from 1 species
CCUGCCCCUAGAGGCUGCAGAUGUGGCUGCUGUGUAACAUGUCCGUCAGUAGGUGGCAGUAAGGAGAGAGGCUAUGUCUAUGCUCAGUGUUCUGACACUGCUAUGAACAUCUGAUUGAUUGGUAUAGCUGAAAGG